rnacentral:misc_RNA from 1 species
UUCUUCAAUUUGAGAGUCAUUCCCCUCCUCGCUAUUUUCUGAACAAACUUAUCAAACUUUAACAUUGCAACAGUUGAUUUUACAUGGUGAACAUGAUUUUCAGCAAAUUUUAUUUGAAAAUCCUAUUGUUGCUGAAACCUAUUUUCAAUGAUUUAUUACUAUAAUUUGUCAUAUUAAAUCUCCUUAUUAUCCUCCUCACUGCUUUCUUUACUAACUUAUCAUGAAGUACUACUGUAUUUGAUUUUCUAUGUUGAACACAAUAUUCAGCAUUUUUUUUUUAAGAUCCUGUUGUACCUGAGACAGAUUUAUGAUGAUCUCCGAGGUAAGAAGGUCAAGCUCUUUUUGACCAAUCACAUCGAAACACCCAAAGUGUCGAUAUCCACGUAUCCCCCAUUCCAAAACACUGAAUUUUAACCCAAAUAAAGUAUCUCCCAUAGUUUUCGCAUCGCCACACAUUUGACCCUCAGUUUUGGACCAUGCUUCCUUUACAUGUCGAUUGAUGAAAGAACACUGACAGAAUCUUUCCUCUUGAGAAU